UUGAUGCUACUCGGUGAGUAUCUGAGGUAAUUUUGCUUAAUUUCCAACGAAUUUAACGUCGAUGACUAUAAAUGUGAUGAAAUAUGACAAUAACACCUCUAGUCAACCGACUUGUUUGACGACAUGGGCUACCCAAAUUGUGUAAUUUAACAACGGUCAUAACGUUAUAUCGCUAGCUACUGUAGGUGUACAAAAUUCACAAAGUUUAUUUGACCACUGACAAUCCUGUAAAACCUUAGCUAACAUUUAUAUCAACUAAAAGUUGAAAUUCUAUACUAUUUAAUUGUCUAUUUUCUUUCGUUUUUUUGAUGGCAUGCGUUUGAAGUGUAUGUAGUUGAAUGAAUUGUAUGAUAUGUGACAGCCUGAUGGUCAUUGGGGGCAAACGUGUCUUUCUAUGUAAACUGAAUUUAACUGCAUAUGAAAUAAUAAUCACCCUAACCCUACCCAUAACCCCCAAACCCCCCACUGCUGUCUUCCUCCUAGCAGACCUAUCAAGCAAACAUGGAAAAUCCAAGGUUCCGUUUCACGCCCUCACAGGAGUUGGUCCUCAAGGCCACACCCCAGGCAGUAAGAGUGGCUGCUGACGGCCCCCCUGCUUCUGGUGCUCAGGGCCCUCCUGUGAGGACUAAGAAGUGGGAGGAAGUGGAGGCAGAGGCUCGCGCCCGCGUCGUCUCCGAGGGAGGUGACCCCGGUGCAGAGAUGGUCAUCCUGAACCGGUGCACGGUUCCGUUCGGCAAGUACCGGGGUCAGACAUUCAAGUGGAUGAUGGAGAACGACGUAGGCUACAUGUGUACGUGGUAACAGUACAUCAGAAGGAGAGGGAGCGAGAGCGCAGCGUUUCCCAGCAUCCCCUGAUGGGCCAACAAGGACGCCUUGACUCGCUACUCGUGCGCCGAUCCGGCCUUCGCUGAGAUGGUCAGGUUCAACCGGGCACAGGAGGAAGCUAAAGUCCUCCCAGCCAGGCCAGGAGGGCCUGGCCUUUGUUGGCAUCAGGAAGUACAAGUGGGACUCGCUGCAGGACCUGUAUGAGACUACAGGUGCAGACAGGAUAAGAUAUGUCAGGAGCUUGAGGACGCAGACACCCCGUUAUCCUGGGAGUGCGAUGGCUGCCUUGAUUGGCUACAUUCAGCGCAGAGACCAGGAGGGGGUAGCUGCUGUGGUCAGGCCCGCCGCAGCCAGCACCACCCCCGCCAGCUAACACCCGGCCCAAGUGCGGCUACGUCUCUUGGUCCUGCGAUCUCUACGCUCCUGUCAAGGCGCUCUCUCACCCAGGUGAACUGCAGUCGAAGAUGAAGAAGCUCAUUGCUUCUCAGCCUGCAAUUCAAGCACUGCCACCGACAGAUCUAUCGGACGCAGAGCUGGUGAAAGCAGCUGCUGACAGACACACCCCAAGGAAAUGUAUUGGUAAGAGUUAUCUGGGUUUAGAGGAGAGUCACUGCAUGUAAGAACUAUUAAAUAUCUUACCUUGCCACUUUAGCUGUCAUCCUGCAUGUAGCUGUCAUCCUGCGUG